UAGGGAAUUGUUCGCAAUGGGCGCAAGCCUGACGACGCAACGCCGCGUGGAGGAUGAAGACCUUCGGGUCGUAAACUCCUUUCGAUCGAGACGAAUGGCCUCCGGGUGAACAAUCCGGAGGAAUGACGGUACCGAGAGAAGAAGCCCCGGCUAACUCCGUGCCAGCAGCCGCGGUAAUACGGGGGGGGCAAGCGUUGUUCGGAAUUACUGGGCGUAAAGGGCUCGUAGGCGGCCAACUAAGUCAGACGUGAAAUCCCUCGGCUUAACCGGGGAACUGCGUCUGAUACUGGAUGGCUUGAGUGUGGGAGAGGGAUGCGGAAUUCCAGGUGUAGCGGUGAAAUGCGUAGAUAUCUGGAGGAACACCGGUGGCGAAGGCGGCAUCCUGGACCACGACUGACGCUGAGUGAGCGAAAGCCAGGGGAGCAAACGGGAUUAGAUACCCCCGUAGUCC
rnacentral:rRNA from 1 species